AUUGAACGCUGGCGGCAUGCCUUACACAUGCAAGUCGAACGGCAGCACGGGAGCAAUCCUGGUGGCGAGUGGCGAACGGGUGAGUAAUAUAUCGGAACGUGCCCAGUCGUGGGGGAUAACGCAGCGAAAGCUGUGCUAAUACCGCAUACGAGCUACGGAUGACAGCGGGAGAUCGCAAGACCUCGCGCGAUUGGAGCGGCCGAUAUCAGAUUAGCUAGUUGGUGGGGUAAGGGCCCACCAAGGCGGCGAUCUGUAGCUGGUCUGAGAGGACGAACAGCCACACUGGAACUGAGACACGGUCCAGAGUCCGUCGGGAGGCAGCAGUGGGGAAUUUUGGACAAUGGGCGCGAGCCUGAUCCAGCAAUGCCGCGUGCAGGAUGAAGGCCUUCGGGUUGUAAACUGCUUUUGUACGGAACGAAACGGCCCUUUCUAAUACAGGGGGCUAAUGACGGUACCGUAAGAAUAAGCACCGGCUAACUACGUGCCAGCCGCCGCAGUAA
rnacentral:rRNA from 1 species